rnacentral:rRNA from 1 species
UACGGGGGGGGCAAGCGUUGUUCGGAAUUACUGGGCGUAAAGGGCUCGUAGGCGGCCAACUAAGUCGGACGUGAAAUCCCUCGGCUUAACCGGGGAACUGCGUCCGAUACUGGAUGGCUUGAGAUUGGGAGAGGGAUGCGGAAUUCCAGGUGUAGCGGUGAAAUGCGUAGAUAUCUGGAGGAAUACCGGUGGCGAAGGCGGCAUCCUGGACCGACAUUGACGCUGAGGAGCGAAAGCUAGGGGAGCAAACGGG